UGCUGGCACCUGCUGCUCGUGGGGGCUCCGAGCCGGCUCAGCCGCCGACACACGCCUUAAACCCCCGCUUGAAAGCCUCGCUUUAAGCCCCCCUUUUAAAGACACGCUUUAAAGCCAUGUGCUGCCGUGGUUUUAUUGCCACUCUCCCAGCCCGUUUAUACACUGCGUGGAGAGCGGGUCCCGCUGCUCGGUGCCCACUGAAGGCGCCCGGGGCCCACCAGUAACAGUAGGUGUGGUGAAAGGAGGAAGUUACCAGCCAAGAAAUGAAGACCAGUCAAAUGAAGCAUCUUCUUAAGAAGGUGGGGCACUUUCUAUUCUAGCAGGUUUCUUUAAUUUAAAUAUAGUUUGCCUUGGGGGAUGACUAAUCAAAGACAAAUGGAUUGGUAUCAUGCUGUAAGCAGCAAUUUGACUACAUGUGUUGAAACUAAGGAAAUUAUUGCCUAUUUGUCUUUUGCAAAGAAUGUCAGGAAGAAUGUAGAUGUCACUGCAAGUCUGAUAAGCAUCUGGGUUGGGCUGGCACUUGGUUUCACAAGGCUCUGCCUUUGGAGAUUUCAUGAUGAUCCCUAAUAUCUCCCAUGUCCUUCCGCUCUCCUGAGUGCCAUGGUCCGGAACCCCUUCUACAAAUUCUGUCACCACCUCAGGCAGGAGACAAAGCAUAGCACUGUGUUGUGACAAAGGACCUGCUGGAAUCUCAUAAAUUCAGCUCUAAUUCAAGUAAGGAAGGCUUUUUUUUUUUUUUUUUUGAUGGAUGGGAGGAAGGAGUUUGCCAAGGAAAGACAACUAUCAGGGGCAGGAAAGGAAGUCUCAAAUUGGAACUGGAAGCAAGAAGUUCUGCCAAUGGUGAGAUGGAAUUGGUCCAACAGUGGAACGUGAAGAACAGAAAGCUUUUACCUGUUGCAAAAGACAUGUGAGAAUCAGAGAUAAAAUAAGGUCCUUGAGGGCCUUGCCUUUCAUCUCAAUACAAAAAGAGGACCCUGGGGCCUUGCUAUACACUCAGACUGCACACACAGUGAGGGAGAAUAUACAGCAAAUGCAAAGUAAGUAAAUAACAGUACAAUGCAUUUAUUCCAUUGUUUGUUUGCAAUGUGCUGCUUCUGCUGUUGCCAAGAAUACAAAUACUGCAGACAGCUGGUUCUGUAAAAUGUGACUUUCCUAUGGCAGGUUAGAAGUCCUUCCUGUCUGUAUGCUGGAGUCAGGUGUAGCUGUGCAGAACCCCCUGCCAGGUGUGCCACAGAGCUGCUCACACCACAGUAAAGGGAGGGAAAGUUUAACUGAGAUUUCAUUUUCCUUCCUUCU